GGAUUGAACGCUGGCGGCAUGCCCUACACAUGCAAGUCGAACGGCAGCACGGGGGCAACCCUGGUGGCGAGUGGCGAACGGGUGAGUAAUGCAUCGGAACGUGCCCAGUAGUGGGGGAUAACUAGUCGAAAGAUUAGCUAAUACCGCAUACGACCUAUGGGUGAAAGCGGGGGAUUCGCAAGAACCUCGCGCUAUCGGAGCGGCCGAUGUCUGAUUAGCUAGUUGGCGGGGUAGAAGCCCACCAAGGCUUCGAUCAGUAGCUGGUCUGAGAGGACGACCAGCCACACUGGGACUGAGACACGGCCCAGACUCCUACGGGAGGCAGCAGUGGGGAAUUUUGGACAAUGGGCGCAAGCCUGAUCCAGCCAUGCCGCGUGCGGGAAGAAGGCCUUCGGUUGUAAACCGCUUUGGCAGGAACGAACGGCGCGAGCGAAUAUCUCGCGUUAAUGACGGUACCUGCAGAAUAAGCACCGGCUAACUACGUGCCAGC
rnacentral:rRNA from 1 species